UACGUAGGGUCCAAGCGUUGUCCGGAAUUAUUGGGCGUAAAGAGCUCGUAGGCGGUGUGUCGCGUCGGAUGUGAAAGCCCGGGGCUUAACCCCGGGUCUGCAUUCGGUACGGGCAUGCUGGAGUUCGGCAGGGGAGACUGGAAUUCCUGGUGUAGCGGUGAAAUGCGCAGAUAUCAGGAGGAACACCGGUGGCGAAGGCGGGUCUCGGGGCCGAUACUGACGCUGAGGAGCGAAAGCGUGGGGAGCGAACAGG
rnacentral:rRNA from 1 species